GGUACAACAAUAACAUCCCAACCUUUUAUCCCACUAUAUUUGGUUACGUGAAUUUUAGCUUCCCAUUCAUUUCUAUGCAUAGCCUUAUCUUAUAUAAGGCCAAUAUAUUUAAUAUCAAAUCUAAGAGUGUCCCACCAAAUUUUUCUUGAUUUUCCUCUACCAAAUUUGAUAAAUGUUGGCUUUAAGUUCUUCCUCUUCUUCUUUUCUUUUUCUUUUUAAAUUGAAAACUACAAUUUAGAGGUUACUUUCAAAUUCAUUUCAGGGACAAGGAUGGGUAUCACUGGCUGACAGGAAGAGUUGAUGAUGUUAUCAAUGUCAGUGGACAUCGUAUUGGCACAGCAGAAGUGGAAUCUGCCCUCGUUUCACAUCCCAAAUGUGCCGAAGCUGCUGUUGUUGGUGUUGAGCAUGAGGUCAAAGGACAGGGUAUUUAUGCAUUUGUUACUCUGGUUGAGGGUGUUCCUUACAGUGAAGCACUCCGGAAAAGUCUUAUACUAGCCGUCAGAACCCAGAUUGGAGCAUUUGCGGCUCCUGACAAAAUCCACUGGGCACCGGGUCUUCCCAAGACGCGAAGUGGAAAAAUAAUGAGGAGGAUUCUGAGGAAAAUCUCGUCAAGGCAGUUGGAUGAGCUUGGGGACACAAGCACACUUGCAGACCCUAAUGUGGUCGAUCAGCUUAUAGCACUUGCCGAUUCCUGAGAGCUACAGCUGUUGCUUGCCGCCCCAACAAACUUGUUUUAUGACGUUGCCGAGACAACAAUACUACAAGGGUACAGCGUUAAAACUCCUACAAAUAAAUGAUCACUAGAGUGAUUGCCCCGCCCCCGACUUCCCUCCCAAGUCCCUGCCGUCGUCUCAGAUGUUUGAAUAUAUAGAGUUGUAUUUCUGUGUUUGGCUCCUGAAUUCAUUCUAGUUGUUGACAUUAAAUCCAGCAGGAAUUAGUAGCCAUAAUGUUUGUAAACUCUAAUUUUGAACUUGGCUGAGAAUAAUCUAUUUGCAUGUGUAUUCCAUCUCAAAUAAGCAAAUUGAUGUUUUUGCUUGCA